rnacentral:rRNA from 1 species
UAGUCAUACGCUCGUCUCAAAGAUUAAGCCAUGCAUGUCUAAGUAUAAGUAUCUUAUAUUGCGAAACUGCGAAUGGCUCAUUAUAUCAGUUAUAGUUUAUUUGAUAGUAUUUUCUACUUGGAUAACCGUAGUAAUUCUAGAGCUAAUACAUGCAACAACGCCUGACUGUUUCAGAAGGGCUGUAUUUAUUAGAUACAAACCAAUGCGGGCUUGCCCGGUAUUGUGGUGAGUCAUAGUAACUAAGCGAAUCGUAUGGCCUUGCGCCGACGAUGAAUCAU